AGUGAACGCUGGCGGUAGGCCUAACACAUGCAAGUCGAACGGCAGCACAGUAAGAGCUUGCUCUUACGGGUGGCGAGUGGCGGACGGGUGAGGAAUACAUCGGAAUCUACUUUUUCGUGGGGGAUAACGUAGGGAAACUUACGCUAAUACCGCAUACGACCUACGGGUGAAAGCAGGGGAUCUUCUGACCUUGCGCGAUUGAAUGAGCCGAUGUCGGAUUAGCUAGUUGGCGGGGUAAAGGCCCACCAAGGCGACGAUCCGUAGCUGGUCUGAGAGGAUGGUCAGCCACACUGGAACUGGGACACGGUCCAGACUCCUACGGGAGGGCGCAGUGGGGAAUAUUGGGCAAUGGGGGGAAACAUGAUCCAGCCAGCCCGCGCGGGUGGAGGAGGCGCUCGGGUUGGAAAGACCUUUUGUUGGGAAAGAACAGCAGCAGGUUAAUACCCCGCUGUUCUGACGGUAACCAAAGAAUAAGCACCGGCUAACUUCGUG
rnacentral:rRNA from 1 species